GGGUAGAAUGGCUGAGUGGUUAAGCGGCAGGCUGUAGUCCUGCGAACAUGGGUUUAAGUCCUGUUUCUAU
rnacentral:tRNA from 1 species